AGAGUUUGAUCAUGGCUCAGGAUGAGCGCUGGCGGCGUGCCUAACACAUGCAAGUCGAGCGAUUUACUUCGGUAAAGAGCGACGGACGGGUGAGUAACGCGUGGGUAACCUGCCCUGUACACACGGAUAACAUACCGAAAGGUAUGCUAAUACGAGAUAAUAUACUUUUAUCGCAUGGUAGAAGUAUCAAAGCUUUUGCGGUACAGGAUGGACCCGCGUCUGAUUAGCUAGUUGGUAAGGUAACGGCUUACCAAGGCGACGAUCAGUAGCCGACCUGAGAGGGUGAUCGGCCACACUGGAACUGAGACACGGUCCAAACUCCUACGGGACGCAGCAG
rnacentral:rRNA from 1 species